GGGAGACUAGCGCCACCGUGGGGGUGGCCUCAUGCAUCCCCAGAGGCCAAGCCUCCAGGCAGGGUCCCCCAACCCCAAGGCCAGGUGGGGUCUAGGGACCCACUUGGUACCCAAUAAACAUUUACUGGAUAAAUGAAUGAAUGAGCCAAUGACUGAGGGCUCCUGGGUUCCAGGGGAGGGUCUGUCCUGAGCUCUGGCGGAGGACAGACAGCACUCCCCCCUCUCCCCGCCCCCCACCCCCACUCCAGGUGCCUGCAGACACCUUUUCCAGUUCCAGGUGCGGCUUGAGGGCCUCAGGUAAGAGGCUAGAAGAACUUCCAGAGGGAGUCAGGCCCCAGGCCUGGCCGGGUGGAGCCGCCCCUCUCCCCUGCCUCCUCUGCCAGAGGGGUCACCAUGGAUUGCCCUGGGCUGGCCCUGCCCUGCCUCUGCUCCAGGACCUGUAGGGUUCCCUCUUCACAGCAGUGUCUGCUCUGGUCCUUCCGGCUGGCUCUCAAGGUCCCCUGUCCCACCAGGCCAUGUGCCCGCUCAGGCAGGACAACUGCAGACACCUUGCUGCAGGCCUUUGCCGGGGCCUGUCCCCUGGUGGCCUGCCCCUCUCCCCCUGACUCCUGUAAAUCGUGUUGUUCACUCUGGGUUCAUCUCCCCUCUUCCAAAGGAAGCCCCUCUCCCCCCCUACUCUGUUUUCUCAUCCACAUCAUUUCAGGUAUUUAUUUCCUCUGUGUUCCAAGCCCCGUGCUGGGGGUCCCGAGAAUAAAAGACACAGGUCUUGCCCUCCACAGCAAGUGACCGAUGACAAGGUUCUGCUCUAAGGUAAGCCAGGUGCAGAGGAAACAGAGAGAAAAGGGCGUGUGUUGUGGGAGAGGGCCGAGGGGCUGUUAUGGAAGACAUCCUGGAGGAGGAGACCAGCCGACCGGAGUCUGGGAGCCAAGUGGGAUUCUUCCAGGUGCCCACAGCUACUGACUGGUGGAUGGAUUGAGGACCUUGGAGCUCUCCCCUGAUCUUCCUUCUUCAGUGGCAACAAAUCCCAGCAGACAGCGCUGACCUCUACUCACCCAGGACUCUGGGAACGCACCUUACACUCAGGAUCUCCGGCAUCUCGUCCGGUCAACCGCCCGCCUGACCAGCGACGCGUGAGGGUGCAAGCUAUGUCCUGCCCUUGACCCGGGCCCUGCAGGGGCAUGGCAAAUAUUUGUUUGUGGAAGGAAGCUCCUCCCAGAGAUCCGGGGCUGGAGAGACAAGUGGGCAGGGGUUGUGCCUCUGCAGGUGCCAGUCUGUGUGUUGUCGUCUAUUCCCAGGAAGGGAUUCUGGGGUUCCUGAUCAAAGACCCAGCUACCUCUGCCCCUCUCUCACACCCAGGGGCUAGGGUGAGCUCAGUCUUGUCUUUGCACCCAAUGGGAACCAGAGAGAGGCCUGAGCCCCAUCUGUGCCCAUGACACUCUUGGUCUUAGCUUUUUUUUUUUUUUUUUUUUUUUUUAAGGAAUCUCUAUGUCCAACGUGGGGCUUGAGAUCAAGAGUCGCGUGUUCUACCCACUGAGCCAGCCAGGCGCCCCGACAUCUCCUGGUCGUCAGAUCCCACUGUGACUCCCGUCAAGCAGCUCAGGACUAUUCACUGAAGCCGGCACUCCAGACCCCUGAACCACCUCCCCCCCAAAACCACUCUGCCACUACGAAGACCACGCUGUUCCUGGUCCCAGCCAUUCGGUCAGCAGCUGGGGAGCCAAGCUUGGGGUGCUCAGCGCUGCCAGCGGGGAAGGAAAUUCGACUCGUAUAUGACACAGAGGACAGAAACAGGCCCACCAGGAACGCAAUAACAGAGAGCCUGGGGAUCCUAAGCAGAGAAACUUCCUGCAGUUGGGGAACAAGAGGGCACUCUUCGGUGACUGAUAACUGGCUGCAAACCCAAGACGCUGUAUGGAGCACAAUGUUGUCCAUAAACGAGGCGGGACCUGCCCUCAGGGCCCUGGACGUCUGUCCCUGGAUCCAGACCCUGGCAGAUGCUGGGCAGCCGUUCUCGUCCGUGUCCCUUAUGACCUGCGGCUCCUCUGGGCUAUUUGGGGCUCACCUGGGCAGGGCGGACGACGUGGGCUAGCCUGGAGUUCUACAACAGAAGCCCUUCCCCAUCCUCGCCUCCUAGGGAUAAGGGCCAAAGGGAGUCUCUAGGGCAGUGGACCCCAAAGCCCGGACCCCUUCUGUCCAUGGCCACCCUCCAGAACCUUCUUUGCUCUUCCUUCCCACACAGCGUCUAUCCCCCACCGGCUGCAGAAGCAGGCGAUGGGAGGCAGGGGAGGGUCUCGGGGAAGGGCACCCUAACAAACUGGGGGGCAAUGGUGGGAGCCGUGGCUUCCCACCAGGCAGGACCCGGAGCCUGGGGGGCCCUCAUUCUUGAGUCCUCCGCACCUGACAGGGGGUCAGCAUCUGUGGAACUGGACCCACCUCCACACGGGCCGCCGCGCCCAGGCCUGGAGCCUGAGCCCUCUGUCCUCCCUGCCUGCUGGGCCCCGGCCGCCAGGGCAGAGGCCCCCGGGAACAGACGAGGGCCCAGCCUGCACGAAGCUGACCUCGAGCCUCAGCCCGGGCCGGGUAACAGGAAGCCAGAGGCCGAUGCCGGUAAGCAACGGAGAUUCAGGGAUCAGAGGUCUGCUGCCUGAUCAGAAGCAGCCUGGAGUCGGAGGACAGAUUACUGGAAGGAGGAGGAAGCUGCAGCAAUAAAUAAGGCCAGACCCCAAACACUUGCCUCUAGCUGACGGGAGCCCAGCCUGAGUGCAGCGCAGGGGCCCCAGGAAGGGGGGAGGGGGGAGGGCAGGAGGUGCAAGGUAUGCUUUGCUUGCAGCCUGAGCUGGGGGCCCUGGAAGGCAGGGAUGGAGUGUUCGGUGUCCAGUGUCCCCGGGCAGGGCCUGAAACGCAAGGGAUCUUCAGAGCUCUGCAGAAGGUCCCUUGGGCGCCGUCCCCACGCCUCCUGCUCCACUGCCGUGCGUCCCCCAGCCCCCACCCCCCCAGGGAGGUCGUUGAAGUGGGGACCCAGCCCUGGGCUUGCUUGGCUCCCCCCACAGGCCUCCCUGCCCCCGC